GUAAACAUAAACCAAGAACGAGUUAUAUGAACUACUAUUAUCAAAGCACAAGUCAUUGUUCAUUAAACUAAUGUAUGGAGAAAACCGUACGUACAAAUGAACCCGUAGAAGCAACCAUAUUCGAAUUCAGCAAUAAGACCGCAGUGUGCCUUCUCCUCUCUUCAGUAAUCAAAGCUCUUAACUAAUAAUAGGUCUUAGUCCUGAUAAUAAAGUGUACAAACUGCGAGAGCAGAGACCACUAUAUAUACAACAUAAUCCUAGCCAAAUUCUAUAAGGAUUUCCCUAUUAAAAUCCAUAUAGAAAACUGAUUCCAAUCCAACAUUGGUUUAGUAUCUCUGUUCCUUAAGCAUUCCAGAACAAUAUGGAUUACAAAUCCAUUCCCAAUGAGACUUCCUAUUAAAUCUUGAAUUCAAAAACUAAAUACAGACUCAUACCAAUGCUCAUAUUCUUACAUCUAGUUCUUGUCAUGCAAUGUUCUGAGUGAGCGAGAACCCAUUGUAAAGAGAGAAUAUGCGUUAUAACUUCGUUAUAUCUCGUUUGUG
rnacentral:lncRNA from 1 species